rnacentral:rRNA from 1 species
UACGUAGGGUGCAAGCGUUAAUCGGAAUUACUGGGCGUAAAGCGUGCGCAGGCGGCUUUGCAAGACAGAUGUGAAAUCCCCGGGCUCAACCUGGGAACUGCAUUUGUGACUGCAAGGCUGGAGUACGGCAGAGGGGGAUGGAAUUCCGCGUGUAGCAGUGAAGUGCGUAGAUAUGCGGAGGAACACCGAUGGCGAAGGCAGCCCCCUGGGUCAAGAUUGACGCUCAUGGACGAAAGCUAGGGGAGCGAAUGGG